GACGAACGCUGGUGGCGUGCUUAACACAUGCAAGUCGAACGGUGAAGGGGUCUGCUUUUGUGGGCCCUGGCUGAGUGGCGAACGGGUGAGUAACACGUGAGUAACCUGCCCCCUUCUUCUGGAUAACCGCAUGAAAGUGUGGCUAAUACGGGAUAUUCUGGGUCUGUCGCAUGAUGGGUCUGGGAAAGAUUGCGCCUUUGGGUGUUUUUGGUGGGGGAUGGGCUCGCGGCCUAUCAGCUUGUUGGUGGGGUGAUGGCCUACCAAGGCGGUGACGGGUAGCCGGCCUGAGAGGGUGGACGGUCACACUGGGACUGAGACACGGCCCAGACUCCUACGGGAGGCAGCAGUGGGGAAUAUUGCACAAUGGGCGCAAGCCUGAUGCAGCGACGCCGCGUGAGGGAUGGAGGCCUUCGGGUUGUAAACCUCUUUCGCCAGUGAAGCAGGCCUGCUCCUUGUGGGUGGGUUGACGGUAGCUGGAUAAGAAGCGCCGGCUAACUACGUG
rnacentral:rRNA from 1 species